AUUGAACGCUGGCGGCAUGCCUUACACAUGCCAGUCGAACGGCAGCACGGGUGCUUGCCCCUGGUGGCGAGUGGCGAACGGGUGAGUAAUACAUCGGAACAUGUCCUGUAGUGGGGGAUAGCCCGGCGAAAGCCGGAUUAAUACCGCAUACGAUCUCCGGAUGAAAGCGGGGGACCUUCGGGCCUCGCGCUAUCGGGUUGGCCGAUGGCUGAUUAGCUAGUUGGUGGGGUAAAGGCCUACCAAGGCGACGAUCAGUAGCUGGUCUGAGAGGACGACCAGCCACACUGGGACUGAGACACGGCCCAGACUCCUACGGGAGGCAGCAGUGGGGAAUUUUGGACAAUGGGCGAAAGCCUGAUCCAGCAAUGCCGCGUGUGUGAAGAAGGCCUUCGGGUUGUAAAGCACUUUUGUCCGGAAAGAAAUCCUUGGCCCUAAUACGGUCGGGGGAUGACGGUACCGGAAGAAUAAGCACCGGCUAACUACGUG
rnacentral:rRNA from 1 species